GGUUAAGUGACUAAGCGUACACGGUGGAUGCCUUGGCAGUCAGAGGCGAUGAAAGACGUAGUAACUUGCGAUAAGCCCAGAUUAGGUAGUAACAACCAUUUGAGUCUGGGAUUUCUGAAUGGGGAAACCCACGUGCAUAAGCACGUAUCCUUACCUGAAUACAUAGGGUAAGGAGGCGAACCGGGGAACUGAAACAUCUAAGUACCCCGAGGAAAAGAAAUCAACCGAGAUUCCGAAAGUAGCGGCGAGCGAAAUUGGACUAGCCCUUAAGCUUUACACGCGUUAGACGAACGGUCUGGAAAGUCCGACGAUACAGGGUGAUAGUCCCGUAGUUGACGACGUGUGUUCAGUGAAAUCGAGUAGGGCGGGACACGUGAUAUCCUGUCUGAAUAUGGGGGACCAUCCUCCAAGGCUAAAUACUACUGACUGACCGAUAGUGAACCAGUACCGUGAGGGAAAGGCGAAAAGAACCCCUGUGAGGGGAGUGAAAUAGAACCUGAAACCGUGUACGUACAAGCAGUAGGAGCAGGCUUCGUCCUGUGACUGCGUACCUUUUGUAUAAUGGGUCAGCGACUUAUAUUCAGUGGCAAGGUUAACCAUCUAGGGGAGCCGUAGGGAAACCGAGUCUUAACUGGGCGUUCAGUCUCUGGAUAUAGACCCGAAACCAGGUGAUCUAGCCAUGGGCAGGUUGAAGGUUGAGUAACAUCAACUGGAGGACCGAACCGACUAAUGUUGAAAAAUUAGCGGAUGACUUGUGGCUAGGGGUGAAAGGCCAAUCAAACCUGGAGAUAGCUGGUUCUCCCCGAAAGCUAUUUAGGUAGCGCCUCGGACGAAUACUACUGGGGGUAGAGCACUGUUAAGGCUAGGGGUCAUCCCGACUUACCAACCCUUUGCAAACUCCGAAUACCAGUAAGUACUAUCCGGGAGACACACGGCGGGUGCUAACGUCCGUCGUGGAGAGGAAACAACCCAGACCGCCAGCUAAGGUCCCAAAUUACUACUAAGUGGGAAACGAUGUGGGAAGGCUCAGACAGCCAGGAUGUUGGCUUAGAAGCAGCCAUCAUUUAAAGAAAGCGUAAUAGCUCACUGGUCGAGUCGGCCUGCGCGGAAGAUGUAACGGGGCUAAGUAGUAAACCGAAGCUGCGGCAAUGCACUUUAGUGCAUUGGGUAGGGAGCGUUCUGUAAGCGGUUGAAGGUGUGUGGUAACGCAUGCUGGACGUAUCAGAAGUGCGAAUGCUGACAUGAGUAACGAUAAAGGGGUGAAAAACCUCCUCGCCGGAAGACCAAGGGUUCCUGUCCAACGUUAAUCGGGGCAGGGUAAGUCGACCCCUAAGGCGAGGCCGAAAGGCGUAGUCGAUGGGAAACGGGUUAAUAUUCCCGUACUUCUUACAAUUGCGAUGGGGGGACGGAGAAGGCUAGGUGGGCCUGGCGACGGUUGUCCAGGUUCAAGUGCGUAGGCUUAAGAGUUAGGUAAAUCCGGCUCUUUCUAAGGCUGAGACACGACGUCGAGCACCUACGGGUGUGAAGUCAUUGAUGCCAUGCUUCCAGGAAAAGCCUCUAAGCUUCAGAUUGUAAGGAAUCGUACCCCAAACCGACACAGGUGGUCGGGUAGAGAAUACCAAGGCGCUUGAGAGAACUCGGGUGAAGGAACUAGGCAAAAUGGUACCGUAACUUCGGGAGAAGGUACGCUCUUGAUGGUGAAGUCCCUCGCGGAUGGAGCUGACGAGAGUCGCAGAUACCAGGUGGCUGCAACUGUUUAUUAAAAACACAGCACUGUGCAAAAUCGUAAGAUGACGUAUACGGUGUGACGCCUGCCCGGUGCCGGAAGGUUAAUUGAUGGGGUUAGACUUCGGUCGAAGCUCUUGAUCGAAGCCCCGGUAAACGGCGGCCGUAACUAUAACGGUCCUAAGGUAGCGAAAUUCCUUGUCGGGUAAGUUCCGACCUGCACGAAUGGCGUAAUGAUGGCCACGCUGUCUCCACCCGAGACUCAGUGAAAUUGAAAUCGCUGUGAAGAUGCAGUGUACCCGCGGCUAGACGGAAAGACCCCGUGAACCUUUACUACAGCUUGGCACUGAACAUUGACCCUACAUGUGUAGGAUAGGUGGGAGGCUUUGAAGCACGUACGCCAGUAUGUGUGGAGCCGUCCUUGAAAUACCACCCUUGUAGUGUUGAUGUUCUAACGUCGACCCCUUAUCGGGGUUGCGGACAGUGCCUGGUGGGUAGUUUGACUGGGGCGGUCUCCUCCCAAAGAGUAACGGAGGAGCACGAAGGUGGGCUAAUCACGGUUGGACAUCGUGAGGUUAGUGCAAUGGCAUAAGCCCGCUUGACUGCGAGAAUGACAAUUCGAGCAGGUGCGAAAGCAGGUCAUAGUGAUCCGGUGGUUCUGAAUGGAAGGGCCAUCGCUCAACGGAUAAAAGGUACUCCGGGGAUAACAGGCUGAUACCGCCCAAGAGUUCAUAUCGACGGCGGUGUUUGGCACCUCGAUGUCGGCUCAUCACAUCCUGGGGCUGAAGUCGGUCCCAAGGGUAUGGCUGUUCGCCAUUUAAAGUGGUACGCGAGCUGGGUUUAGAACGUCGUGAGACAGUUCGGUCCCUAUCUGCCGUGGGCGUUGGAAGAUUGAAGGGGCUGCUCCUAGUACGAGAGGACCGGAGUGGACGAACCUCUGGUGUUCGGGUUGUGUCGCCAGACGCAUUGCCCGGUAGCUAAGUUCGGAAUCGAUAACCGCUGAAAGCAUCUAAGCGGGAAGCGAGCCCUGAGAUGAGUCUUCCCUGAUACUUUAAGUAUCCUAAAGGGUUGUCGGAGACUACGACGUUGAUAGGUCAGGUGUGUAAGUGCUGUGAGGCAUUGAGCUAACUGAUACUAAUUGCCCGUGAGGCUUAACCAU
rnacentral:rRNA from 1 species